GAUCCGAUGCCAUCCCUACUCAUGUUGCACAACUUUUGUUGCUGAGCAUGUUGACAAAGAAGCCAAUUAUACUGCUGACUAGGCUGUUGUGUAUGUGGCUGAUCAUAUUGAAGCUAUCCUGUGUUGAAGGUACUAUGUUGGAAGCUAAUAUAUAACGUGUGUUUAGCUCCAUAUUAGCUAUAUAUUAAGUAAAUCUUGAAUAUUCAUAUAUAACCA
rnacentral:lncRNA from 1 species